AGCAUCGCCGCGGUAACACGAAGGGGGCUAGCGUUGCUCGGAAUCACUGGGCGUAAAGGGUGCGUAGGCGGGUCUUUAAGUCAGGGGUGAAAUCCUGGAGCUCAACUCCAGAACUGCCUUUGAUACUGAAGAUCUUGAGUUCGGGAGAGGUGAGUGGAACUGCGAGUGUAGAGGUGAAAUUCGUAGAUAUUCGCAAGAACACCAGUGGCGAAGGCGGCUCACUGGCCCGAUACUGACGCUGAGGCACGAAAGCGUGGGGAGCAAACAGGAUUAGAUACCCGGGUAGUCCCUGUCUCUUAUACA
rnacentral:rRNA from 1 species